UUGGAGGGCAAGUCUGGUGCCAGCAGCCGCGGUAAUUCCAGCUCCAAUAGCGUAUAUUAAAGUUGUUGCAGUUAAAAAGCUCGUAGUUGAAUUUCGGGGUUAGUAGGUUGGUCAUGCCUCUGGUAUGUACUGGUCUCACUGAUUCCUCCUUCCUGAUGAACCUUAAUGCCAUUAAUUUGGUGUUUUGGGGAAUUUGGACUGUUACUUUGAAAAAAUUAGAGUGUUUAAAGCAAGCUAACGCUUGAAUACAUUAGCAUGGAAUAAUGAAAUAGGACGUUCGAUCCUAUUUUGUUGGUUUCUAGGAUUGACGUAAUGAUUAAUAGGGAUAGUUGGGGGCAUUAGUAUUCAAUUGUCAGAGGUGAAAUUCUUGGAUUUAUUGAAGACUAACUACUGCGAAAGCAUUUGCCAAGGAUGUUUUCAUUAAUCAAGAACGAAAGUUAGGGGAUCGAAGACGAUCAGAUACCGUCGUAGUCUUAACCAUAAACUAUGCCGACUAGGGAUCGGAUGAUGUUAAUUUUUUAAUGAAUCAUUCGGCGCCUUACGGGAAAC
rnacentral:rRNA from 1 species